ensembl:lncRNA
GAGCACUUGCGGGAGUUCAGCGUGCAAAUUAACGCUCAGGCCAUGAGGUACACAGGUGUGCCCGACAGCCUGGUGUACAGGGCAGAGAAGGAUGUCCUGCUGCAGCCCAAGCAGGACCUCAAGAUUUCCAUCCGGAUCCCAUUCUCCUUAUAUGGGACCAAGAUGCUGGACAACAGCAGUCUGAAGGUCUCGGCACUGGUGCACGACAAGCAGCACCCAGGAGAUGGCUACCUAGCUGUGAAGAACAUCGUACCGCAGGAGCCUACAAUCACCAUCAGGCACCCAGCACAUGUCAGCAGUUUACAGAGGUGACGGCGGAGGUCAUCUUUGAAAACCCCAUAUCCAGCACACUUAGAGAUGGCGUCCUUACAAUAACAGGCAGUGGGCUGUUGAGUCAUACCGUGGUGGCCAGGUAACACACACACACACACCCACACACACAC